UAAGGAUGUUUUUUUUUUGCCAAUAAUUACUGACACCGACUCUCUCUCUCUCUCUCUCUCUCUCUCUCUCUCUCUCUCUCUCUCUCUCUCUCUCUCUCUCUCUCUCUCUCUAUCCAGCUUUCCCUCUCUCUCUAUCCAGCUUUCCCUCUCUCUCUAUCCAGGUUUCCCUCUCUCUCUAUCCAGCUCUCCCUCUGUCUCUCUAUCCAGCUCUCCCCCUGUCUCUAUCCAGCUCUCCCUCUCUCUCUCUAUCCAGCUCUCCCUCUCUCUCUCUAUCCAGCUCUCUCCCUCUCUCUCCAUCCAGCUCUCCCUCUCUCCCUAUCCAGCUCUCCCUCUCUCCCUAUCCAGCUCUCCCUCUCUCUCUAUCCAGCUCUUCCUAUCCCUCUCUCUCUCUAUCCAGCUCUCCCUCUCCUUCUAUCCAGCUCUCCCUCUCUCCCUCUCUAUCUAGCUCUCUCUCUCUCCAGCUAUUCCUAUCCCUCUCUCUCUCUAUCCAGCUCUCUCUCUCUCUUUCUCUCUCUCUCCAUCUCUCUCCUCUUUUCACUAUCUCUGCCUCCCUCUAUAGCCACCCACCCAAACCUAACAUGCACCAUGCCCCAGGCUCUGCAAAACAGUUAUGUUCUUUGUUCUCUCCACUGCGAGCGCGCACACACACACACACACACACACACACACACACACACACACACACACACACACACACACACACACACACACACACACACACACACACACACACACACACACACACACACACACACACACACACACACACACACACACACACACACACACAGAGAGAGAGUUGCACUUGAGCACCCCAACCCACACAUAAACCUACUCCAGCAGCCACACAGCCAUCCAGAACACCAUCUAUCUAUAGUGCUGUAUAUCAGAACCCAUCUAUCCAUAGUGCUGUAUAUCAGAACCCAUCCAGAACCCAUCUAUCUAUAGUGUUGUAUAUCAGAACCCAUCUAUCUAUAGUGUUGUAUAUCAGAACCCAUCCAGAACCCAUCUAUCUAUAGUGUUGUAUAUCA
rnacentral:lncRNA from 1 species